rnacentral:rRNA from 1 species
AUCGAACGCUGGCGGCAGGCCUAACACAUGCAAGUCGAACGGUAGCACAGAGGAGCUUGCUCCUUGGGUGACGAGUGGCGGACGGGUGAGUAAUGUCUGGGAAACUGCCCGAUGGAGGGGGAUAACUACUGGAAACGGUAGCUAAUACCGCAUAACGUCGCAAGACCAAAGAGGGGGAACUUCGGGCCUCUUGCCAUCGGAAGGGCCAGAUGGGAUUAGCUAGUAGGUGGGGUAACGGCUCACCUAGGCGACGAUCCCUAGCUGGUCUGAGAGGAUGACCAGCCACACUGGAACUGAGACACGGUCCAGACUCCUACGGGAGGCAGCAGUGGGGAAUAUUGCACAAUGGGCGCAAGCCUGAUGCAGCCAUGCCGCGUGUAUGAAGAAGGCCUUCGGGUUGUAAAGUACUUUCAGCGAGGAGGAAGGCAUUAAGGUUAAUAACCUUAGUGAUUGACGUUACUCGCAGAAGAAGCACCGGCUAACUCCGUGCCAGCCGCCGCCGUAA